AUCUCGGAGAGGACCGGGGCGGGGGAACUUUCAAAGGCGGGUCCGGCGAUCCGGUGGAGAAGCGCCGGAGCUCCGCCCGGGCAGCAGACAAAACUCUCUGUCUGCCGGUAGCAGAGGGGCCACGCUGAGCAUUCAGAGCUCCCGGCAGAGGCCCGGAGAGAAGCCCAGAGGGCGGGGCGACCCCCAGCUGCUGUUGCCCGCCCCGUGGGACUAGGGAUUGCCGGAGAUCUCGGAGAGGACCGGGGCGGGGGAACUUUCAAAGGCGGGUCCGGCGAUCCGGUGGAGAAGCGCCGGAGCUCCGCCCGGGCAGCAGACAAAACUCUCUGUCUGCCGGUAGCAGAGGGGCCACGCUGAGCAUUCAGAGCUCCCGGCAGAGGCCCGGAGAGAAGCCCAGAGGGCGGGGCGACCCCCAGCUGCCGUUGCCCGCCCCGUGAGGCUAGGGAUUGCCGGAGAUCUCGGAGAGGACUGGGGCUGGAGAGAGUUCCAGAGACCCAGCUUAGUAGCCUAGGGGGAAACCCUACAGGCUCACAGAAGCCUUAGGGAAAGCCUCUGCACAGCACCAGUAGAAGGCACCCAGCCGCCAGCCACAAGGCUGGAAGACCCCAGGGCAAAAGCAGCAUAGCUAGGUGUACUAACCACAGACUGUAGAAGAUGCCAAUAGCUCUCCUGCGACCCAUAGAGGACAAGUGAGAUUUGGUGGGUGCCGACAGCAACCG
ensembl:lncRNA